UUUGAUCGAUCCCAGCCACAACGGAUGAUCCGAAUCACGUUGUGCGCCAUAGGUGGCGAUCAGCGCGUCGGCUUC
rnacentral:antisense_RNA from 1 species